rnacentral:rRNA from 1 species
UAGAGUUUGGAUCUGGCUCAGGAUGAACGCCGGCGGUGUGCCUAAUACAUGCAAGUCGAACGCGUUGGCCCAAUUGAUUGAUGGUGCUUGCACCUGAUUGAUUUUGGUCGCCAACGAGUGGCGGACGGGUGAGUAACACGUAGGUAACCUNCCCAGAAGCGGGGGACAACAUUUGGAAACAGAUGCUAAUACCGCAUAACAACGUUGUUCGCAUGAACAACGCUUAAAAGAUGGCUUCUCGCUAUCACUUCUGGAUGGACCUGCGGUGCAUUAGCUUGUUGGUGGGGUAACGGCCUACCAAGGCGAUGAUGCAUAGCCGAGUUGAGAGACUGAUCGGCCACAAUGGGACUGAGACACGGCCCAUACUCCUACGGGAGGCAGCAGUAGGGAAUCUUCCACAAUGGGCGCAAGCCUGAUGGAGCAACACCGCGUGAGUGAAGAAGGGUUUCGGCUCGUAAAGCUCUGUUGUUAAAGAAGAACACGUAUGAGAGUAACUGUUCAUACG